rnacentral:lncRNA from 1 species
UGCGCGCCGCGGCCUGGCCCAGCGAGAGGUCGGGCCUCGCUGCUCCGGACGGCGGCCAGCUUUGCCCAGCAGACGGCACCGGUACCGGGCCUUAAAGGCCCGGACCACCGAGCAGGGCAGGGCGAGCGUGGAGCCCGAGGCCGAGAGAGGCAGGAGCCUCACGUGGUGCAGCCCACAAGAGCCCGCCACUCGCGUCCGCCACCGGGGCCGCCAGCAGUAGGGCACGUGCCGCCCCUGCAGCCCCAUGUCCCGGUCGAACCGUGCCAACCACUGCGCCCAGGGGACGCCCAGCCCAGGGUGGUAGGAGGCAGGCAGCGCCUCGCCGCGGACCUCGGAGAAGCAGGCCGGGGCAGCCUGGCGCCCCCCCGCCCACACCCGCCGCUUCUCGCUGCCCCGGCUGUUGGCGCACAGCACCACCUGCACUCGGUCGCAGGCGCCGGCUCCGCCGGGCACCGCCCGGUACAGCAAGGGCACCGCGGCGCAGCCGAACACGUCCUCCGGGCAGAAGUCUUCAAGGGCCACAGGUGGCUGGGGCUGGGCCGGGAGCCCUGGGGGCGGCGGGGCGAGCGCGGGGCGGGGCCCCGGGCCCACGUUGUUGCGGCGUCUCCAGCGGACCAGCCAGCCGACGCUGGGCACGAAGUCCUGGCCCAUGAUGUCGGCCAGCUGCUUGGCCUUGUGCAGCAGCGCGGGCCCCGUGACGUCGCAGGCCCCGGCGCGCGCGAGGCGGUACCAGCAGAGCAGGGCCUCGUCGACGCCGCUGUACUUGGACUCCCGCUUGCGCUUGCGCUGCCGGUUGGCGGUGCCGCUGCACCAGUCGGCCAGCAGCUUCUCCUUGUUCUUGCAGAUGCGCGAGAUCUGCGGCUGCGAGACCCGGAAGCGCCGCGCCACCUCCGACUGCGACAGCUUGGACUCGCGCAGGAGCUCCAGCACCUGGAUCUUCUCGGCCAGGGACAGCGCGUGCAGCUUCUUCCUGCCGCCCAGCUCCAUGGAUUCUCCCCGCACCUGCGUGGGGGCGGGGGAAGGGAGGGGUGUGCAGGGGGAGGCAGGAGGGAGGGGCAGGUGUGCAGGAGACCGGGCGGGGCCAGGUCAGGCCGGCUGAGGAGCAGGUGCGCCCUGACCCCACGGAACACAGCACAGAGCCAGGAGGAGAGGGGUGAAUAG